rnacentral:sRNA from 1 species
GGAAAUUGAAAUUAACUUUUUCCCUAAGGCUACCUAAAUAAGAUGACUUAGAUUUAUCAAAUUUUGAGUAAUUUUUCAAUUAUCAAUUUGAUAGUUCAAGAUGAUAGCUAGUAGUAGUCCUUUCCUCUUGAGCUGGUUCAUCUGGAUUGAAAGAUGAAUUGGACUGUGAAAGAUAAGCAUCUAAAUAGGCGCAUGGUUCUAGACAUUUUUUAUUCGCAUCCCCAUAUUUUACCUGUGUAUCUCCAUUGGGGGUGGUUAAAAGAUUAAACUGCCCCGUGCCACCGUUACCCUUGCUGUCGUUACCUCCUUGCCGUCGUCGUCGCUGUUCCCUUGCCAUCGCCGCUCCAUGUCUCGUUGCCGCCCUUGUCUAUUUGUUGUGUUAAGGAAUACUGACUAUCACGAAUGGCUGCUUCUAACAUGGCUACAAUGCAAACUACCACUGAAAAGGUAUUAUUCAAGAAGCUUCCAUGUGAUAUGAUUGAAUCAACAAUCUGCACGAAAGGACAAAUAACAACGAUGUGGUUGAGAUUCAAAAGCAGAAUAGAGGUGGUUUUCUGAUGUGCGAUGGGGAUACAACAGUAAGGCUUUGGUACGACUAGUUUGAAUUACCAACAAAAUUCCUCACGAGCAAUUUUGAAGAACUGACCUUGCUAUUGUCAAUCUUUGAUGGUGGUAAGUUUCUCCUGGAUGUAUACAUUGGUUUUGCUGCAUCGUAAAAGCUAAACCUGGGUGGCUGAAAAAUUACAGAAGUAAGCUUUCCUGGGCAAGAAAGAUUUUGGAUCUCAAUCAUUGAACAAGGAAAAUAAUUCUAUGAAAUUAAUUUGAAAAGGAUGAAAUGAAAAAAAUGUUUGUAGUUAACUUUUUAAUUUAACAAUUCAAUUCAUUUCUUAUGUUCACCUCUAGCAUAUCCCACUAAUAAGUAAUAGACUCAACACAUUCAAGUCAUUGAAGCUCAACAAGGUGAUUUGACACUCACAUGCUCAGUGAGGGCAAGAUUUGCCUCAAAGAAUGAUCUGAUGGUCCCUAUGUCUUCCCAAUAAUCAUUGAAGAGAUAAGCCUGCACACAGAGAUUGUCAUACCAUAGGUAAAUAAUAAACAGAAAAGAUUCCUAUGCAACUAUUUUAUCAGUCAUA